GCCAAUCCUUCCAGAUCUAUUUAACUGUGAAUACGGUGAUUCUGAAGAGAUUGCACAGAGUAGUGCAAAGAAUUGCAAAUCAGACUUUUUAAAAGAGGGAAUUUGGGUGGAUAACAGCGAUUAUGUAGGGGUUUUUUGGAGCGAGGGACUCUACGUGGGACAGAUACAAAAAGUUCUGAACGGUGGUCAGCGGCUGAAAAUCAGAUAUAUCACAAAUCCAGAUACAAGAGGGUUUUCACAAUGGGUUCACCCAACAGACAUUUCUAUUACAAAAGAUCUAUAUAUAUUAGGGUUAGCAAACGUGUUGCAUGUUGAAGGAGAUGAUUUCUGCAUAGAAAACUGGAAAAUGUUGCAACAACAAAAUGAACUCU